rnacentral:rRNA from 1 species
UACGUAGGGUGCAAGCGUUGUCCGGAAUUAUUGGGCGUAAAGAGCUCGUAGGCGGUUUGUCGCGUCUGCUGUGAAAACUCAGGGCUUAACUCUGAGCUUGCAGUGGGUACGGGCAGACUAGAGUGCGGUAGGGGAGACUGGAAUUCCUGGUGUAGCGGUGAAAUGCGCAGAUAUCAGGAGGAACACCGGUGGGCGAAGGCGGGGUCUC